rfam:Zootermopsis nevadensis contig16117, whole genome shotgun sequence.
GCCACUGUGGUCCAGCGGUUAGAACGCUGGGCUUGUAAUUCUGGGGUCCCUGGUUUGAUUCCUGGCAGUGCUC